rnacentral:lncRNA from 1 species
AUUAAGUAGUACUUUAAAGUAUUUUUACUUAAGUACUUUACACCACUGCAAUUUUACAUCUAACUAAGAUGUUUGGUGCAGUAUUUCACAAUGAAAGAAUUUGCAUGAAAACGUGUCAUUUCUCAUUGAAUGACAACAGACUUUAUAGAGCCCCACAGUGGAGGUGUUAUAAUACCCAUAAAACCUAGCGGUCAAACCGGGAAAUGGUUCCAGUCGUUUUUCCACCAUACAUUUUUCCCAUAGGGGAUUUUAGAUACACUUAAAAUAAGGGCUGUGUUUCGUGUAGGCUUACCCUGGUGUGAUGUUUUGAUAACCAUGUAAAUCUCUAUUGGACAAGGUGACUUUUAUCAAUAUAUUCGGCUCUAUUUACUUUGAUUCUAAAAUGCUAAUUAGCAUCAAAGUUGACAUCAUGCAAGACUACAAAUCCCUGCAAGCUCCUGCACGUCACCUGUUGCUGACAUCUUUGUAUUGUGUUCAUUUAAAACGUGCACAAGACCGUAAACAGAAUUGUCAAUUUAAAUUAAAUGUUAAUGUAUUCAUUAGUACAUUUAGCUAACAUUAGAUAAUUAAUAUGCACAAACACAUCCAAACUGUUUUGGCUGGGAAACAUGCGGACUCCUUAAGAUCAGCGUCCGGGGCAACUUCUCCUGACUUAAUGUUUAUGUCCCAAAUGGCACCCUAUUUCCUACAUAGUGCACUACUUUGGGUCCUGGUCAAAAGUAGAGCACUACAUAGGAAAUAGGGUGCCAUUUGGGAUGCAUCCCAUAUAAAUACUGUACAUAUCUGAGAGAGACUAAAAAGUGUGCUCAUUUGCACCCAGCACAAUCUCAACUGAAGCCUGAUGUGAGGGCAGGUGAGGUGAUGUGAGGUGAUAUGAGGGCAGGUGAGGUGAGGGCAGGUGAGGUGAGGUGAGGGCAGGUGAGGUGAGGUGAGGGCAGGUGAGGUAAGGUGAGGGCAGGUGAGGUGAGGGCAGGCCUGUCUUGGUUUGGACCUGUUCUACUGCUUCUGACCUACUGUUUUGAUGUCUCUAAUGUUCUUCUAAGCUGUUGAAAUAACAAGCUUUUCUAAUCAAAGUGCUUGUCUGUCGUGUAACUUUUCCAUAAGCACACAGCUCACACCUUCAAGAUAAUUCUCUGAGAUGAUCAUUUUCUCCAGUGUGAGGAUCAUCAAAGCAAGACAGUGCCGAUCUGAUGUUACUUCUUCAACUCAGCCCAUUUUGUUGUCAAUACAGAAGAUCAUUCAGUCACAUUUAUUCAUUCACUCAGAGGGAGAGAACAUUUCAACACUGCUUAUUCUACCACUCAUCUCAACAGUUUUUCUGUUGUAGAGUUAUGUUUUUGUUGAAAAGGUAACAGCAGCUACACCACAUUUACUUAAAGAGGAUCCUUUGAGCCAACAUCCUGUCAGCCGGCCCAUAAACACCUCAAGGGGACAGUUCAGCAGGCCGUAGGGAGGGGAGGGGGGUAAACAGGCCUGUAGCCCUUCCAGUCAAUACAAGCAGAGAAGAAGAGGGGGGAAGUCAGGAAGGGAGGGAGGAGGGGAGGAGGGAUACAGAGGCUAUUCUCCCUCUGAUGUAGUCCUGUUGACAAUGGGAGGAGGGCUUGACACCUUGCUCUUGGUUCUAGCAGGUAGAUUGCUCCUCCUGUCCUAUCCUCUCUAGCCCUGACUGGAGACUGAUGGUGGUGGGAGACAGAGGUUGUAUCCCAAAGUUCCUAUCUAGAACAUUACGUUUGACCAGGGCCCAUAGUGUCCUGACCUCUCCUGUCUUGAGGGGAGAUCUUCCCUCCCUGUGUCUCCUUGUCUCGCUCCCUCCCUGUCUUCUCUCCCUCCCUGUCUUCUCUCCUUCCCUCCCUGUCUUCUCUCCUUCCCUCCCUCCGUCUUCUCUCCUUCCCUCCCUCCGUCUUCUCGCCUUCCCUCCCUCCCUCCGUCUUCUCGCCUUCCCUUCCUCACUGUCUCCUCUCCCUCCCUGUCUUGUUCUCACCCUCCCUUCCUGUUCUCCCUCCCUCCUUCCCUCCCUGUCUUCUCGCUCUCCCUCCCUGUCUUCUCAUCUGCCCUCCCUUCCUGUCUUCUUCUCUCCUUCCCUCGCUCCCUGUUUUCUCUUCUCCCUACCUCCCUUCCCUCCCUCCCUUCCCUCCCUC